rnacentral:snRNA from 1 species
AAAAAGCCUUAGCUUUCUCUU